AUGUGUAGAAGCUUCAGGAUUCAAAGGGCAAACAAGUUACAAAAAUGUCAAAAGGAAGCAAGUAAAAAAAUGGAAACUAGCAUCUUUUCACAAGUGGAUAUUGGUGCUGAUGAAAUAAGUCAUUUGGACGAAGAUAAUUUAAUCGGCCAUGGUGGUAACGGAAAGGUUUAUCGAAUCACGCUGAAGAAAAACAGGAUGGUAGUGGUUGUGAAGCAAUUAGAGAAAGGUGAUGGUUGA
rnacentral:lncRNA from 1 species